AGUCCACACAAGUUUUGUUCCCAUACAUCCCUCUUAAGUUUCCAUACUUAAGUAAGGGUAUGUGAAAAGUAGUUAGGGUUGCCACCUUUCUUGGAAAAACAUACCAGCCUUGCUAAUUUGCAUAAUUAAAUAUGUGUGGGUGACAUCACAUGAUGUAAAUCACAAGGAGUGACAUAAGAGAAAAUGCUGUAAAAUCACCAAAAAACUACUUAGGUUGAUUCUGCUGUAUAGAUGGAUUCCUCCCAGUAGCCCCAUGUCUCCCAGUGCCCCCAUGUGUCGAUUACUCCUGGUCUCAGUGUUCCUAUGUAUCAGUGUCUCAGUGCCCCAUGUCUCCCAGUGUCCCCUAGUGUCGUGUCCUAUGUAUCACAGUGUCUCAAUGCCCCGUGUCUCCCUGUGUCCCC